UGACUAUAUGUUUAACGGCCGCGGUAUUUUAACCGUGCGAAGGUAGCGCAAUCACUUGUCUUUUAAAUGAAGACCUGUAUGAAUGGCAUGACGAGGGCUUGACUGUCUCCUCUUUCAAGUCAAUGAAAUUGAUCUCCCCGUGCAGAAGCGGGGAUCUACCCAUAAGACGAGAAGACCCUAUGGAGCUUUAGACACUAAAGCAGAUCAUGUUAAGGACCCCAAAACAAAGGACUGAACUUAGUGACCCCUGCCCUAAUGUCUUUGGUUGGGGCGACCGCGGAGAGAAACAGAACCUCCGUGUGGAUUGAAAAUACUAUUUCUCACAGACAAGAGCUCCCGCUCUAACAAACAGAAUAUCUGACCAGUAAGAUCCGGCAAAGCCGAUUAACGGACCGAGUUACCCUAGGGAUAACAGCGCAAUCCUCUUUUAGAGCUCGUAUCGACAAGGGGGUUUACGACCUCGAUGUUGGAUCAGGACAUCCUAAUGGUGCAGCCGCUAUUAAGGGUUCGUUUGUUCAACGAUUAAAGUCCUACGUGAUCU
rnacentral:rRNA from 1 species